rnacentral:rRNA from 1 species
GAUGAACGCUGGCGGCGUGCCUAAUACAUGCAAGUCGAGCGAACGGAUGAGAAGCUUGCUUCUCUGAUGUUAGCGGCGGACGGGUGAGUAACACGUGGAUAACCUACCUAUAAGACUGGGAUAACUUCGGGAAACCGGAGCUAAUACCGGAUAAUAUUUUGAACCGCAUGGUUCAAAAGUGAAAGACGGUCUUGCUGUCACUUAUAGAUGGAUCCGCGCUGCAUUAGCUAGUUGGUAAGGUAACGGCUUAGCAAGGCAACGAUGCAUAGCCGACCUGAGAGGGUGAUCGGCCACACUGGAACUGAGACACGGUCCAGACUCCUACGGGAGGCAGCAGUAGGGAAUCUUCCGCAAUGGGCGAAAGCCUGACGGAGCAACGCCGCGUGAGUGAUGAAGGUCUUCGGAUCGUAAAACUCUGUUAUUAGGGAAGAACAUAUGUGUAAGUAACUGUGCACAUCUUGACGGUACCUAAUCAGAAAGCCACGGCUAACUACGUG